rnacentral:rRNA from 1 species
UACGUAGGGGGCAAGCGUUGUCCGGAUUUAUUGGGCGUAAAGAGCGUGUAGGCGGUUCAGUAAGUCGGGUGUGAAAUCUCCGUGCUCAACACGGAGCGGCCACCUGAUACUGCUGUGACUCGAGUCCGGUAGGGGAGUGUGGAAUCCCCGGUGUAGCGGUGAAAUGCGCAGAUAUCGGGAGGAACACCAGUAGCGAAGGCGGCACUCUGGGCCGUGACUGACGCUGAGGAGCGAAAGCGUGGGGAGCGAACAGG